rnacentral:rRNA from 1 species
UCCAGACUCCUACGGGAGGCAGCAGUGGGGAAUAUUGGGCAAUGGGCGCAAGCCUGACCCAGCAACGCCGCGUGAAGGAAGAAGGCUUUCGGGUUGUAAACUUCUUUUAAGAGGGAAGAGCAGAAGACGGUACCUCUUGAAUAAGCCACGGCUAACUACGUGCCAGCAGCCGCGGUAAUACGUAGGGGGCAAGCGUUAUCCGGAUUUACUGGGUGUAAAGGGAGCGUAGACGGCAGUGCAAGUCCGGAGUGAAAGCCCGGGGCUCAACCCUGGGACUGCUCUGGAAACUGCAAAGCUGGAGUGCGGGAGGGGCAGGCGGAAUUCCUGGUGUAGCGGUGAAAUGCGUAGAUAUCAGGAGGAACACCGGCGGCGAAGGCGGCCUGCUGGACCGUAACUGACGUUGAGGCUCGAAAGCGUGGGGAGCAAACAGGAUUAGAUACCCUGGUACG